rnacentral:rRNA from 1 species
UCGGGAAUUUUGGGCAAUGGGGGAAACCCUGAUCCAGCGAUGCCGCGUGUGUGAAGAAGGCCUGCGGGUUGUAAAGCACUUUAGUUGGGGAGGAGAAGGUUCGUAUGAAUAAUGAGGACUGGAGACGUUACCCAAAGAAUAAGCACCGGCAAACUCUGUGCCAGCAGCCGCGGUAAUACAGAGGGUGCAAGCGUUAAUCGGAGUUACUGGGCGUAAAGGGCACGUAGGUGGUUAUAUAAGUCAGUUGUGAAAUCCCCGGGCUUAACCUGGGAACUGCAGCUGAUACUGUGUGACUAGAGUCGAAGAGAGGGAAGCGGAAUUUCCGGUGUAGCGGUGAAAUGCGUAGAUAUCGGAAGGAACAUCUGUGGCGAAGGCGGCUUCCUGGAUUCAGACUGACACUGAGGUGCGAAAGCGUGGGUAGCGAACAGGAUUAGAUACCCGUGUAGUCCCUGAGCGGGCUGGCAAGGCG